rnacentral:lncRNA from 1 species
ACAUCACCAUACCUGGCCCCUCCUUGCUUAUAUCAGAAAAUCUACUGAGAUACAGAGUAUUUUGUAGGGCCCAGUGAUCAUAUUUCAGGAUUGUUUUUCUUCAUUCGUCCCAUACUUACUUGUAUCUCCAGUACAGUAAGUCCCCAACAUACGAAUGAAUUCUGUUCUGGGAGAAUUAUUUGUAAGUCGGACUUGUUUGUAGGCUGACAAACUGAGUCUUAGACAUUACACCUGUGAAAGUUCACAGCUCGAAGGUUCGUAAGUCAGGGACUUACUGUAUCCACCACCCCCACUUUGUGGUGCUAGGGAUUAAAUCCAGGGCCUUCACCCUGAGGUAUAUUCCCAGCCCUUUUUUAUUUUUAGACAGCCUUGCUGAGGCAGGAGGAUCCAGGUUCAAGCCCAGCCUGGGCAAUGUGUUGACUUAGCAAGAAAGACCUUGUCUCACAAUUUAAAAAAAAAAUUUCAAGAAGAGAGGUUGGGGGGAUUUAGCUUAGUGGUUCCGCCGCCUGCCUUGCAAGCGGAAGGACCCAAGUUCGAUCCCUGGUACCAAAAAAAAAGAAGGGCCAGGAAUGUAUUCUAGCGUAAAGUCCCUGGGUUCAAUGCCCAGUAAAAGAAAAAAAGAAAAAAAAAAAAGAGAAAUUGAGAGAAAGAAAAACCUUUGCAUUGAUAUCUAGCCCCGUCAAAGCAAUCUAUAAAAUACUUGCCAUCUGGAAGAAGUUUGACUAAUUCUAAUUUUGAAAUAUAAAACCACAGUUUAACAAGAGCCCUAGUUUGCUGCCACCUCCGCAAUGUCCUUGUCCUUGUUUUCAAGGGAGACCUCUCUGGCUGGUGAGAUAAAAGUAUAUGUAUAUUUUUAUUUAUAUUUCUUUCUAGGUACUUAAACCCUCCCCAGUACUGUAUUAGAAGGGUGUCAUGAACUUGUUCAGCCCUGUACAGAUUAGAAGCUUGUUGCUGGCUGCAGCCUAUGGCCAUCAUUGAUUCUACUCACUGGGGCUCCCAAAACUGCUGAUGCCAUAGUGAUACCAGAGCGCCACCUGUACCACG